UUUUUGUGCCAGUAUUUUUGUUUUACAGGCAGUCCCCGAAAUACACGGUACCUCUUAUACGUGGAUUCGGAGGUACGCGGUUUCCUAAAUUUGGCAGAUUAUUUGAGCAAAUUAUACUGAUUUGACACAACCAUUGUCAAUUGCCAAAUAAUAUCCCAUCUGAUCGAAUAUCAAAAAACAUUUUAAAUGGUGUAAAAUUGUUCAAUUCAGUCAGAAUCAUAUCAAAUAAUUAAUUUAGAGCCUAAAACCACUUGCAAAAUUAUACGAAGAUUAUUGAUAUUUUAACUGGAAAUUACGAGAUUCGAUUUACGCGGAAAUUCCCCAUUAACCAUGUAUCUCGGGGACCGCCUGUACUCCUUUACUCGCAUUUUCGAGAUUAACAAAUACUUGUUGUACCGUUGUACCGUCCGUUGACGACAAGUAAGCACGUGUAAAAUGAACGAGAAUCGCACCGUUCGAACAGUUUGGUAAAGAGCACUAACGAACGAGAUUCUUAAAAAAAGAACGACCAGCCCAGCUAGCAAAGCUGAAGGCCUUUGUAUCGGAGCCAUCGCGCUCAUCAAGGCUCAUUCUAAAACAGCCGAAGUCAUACAAAAUCAUGAAAAAGUCUGCGCCCUUUUACUCCGGCUUCCUCCCGAAGUUAACCGAGCCGAACCGAAUAGUUGUGUUCGAUAAACAUUCCCAACCAGCAAAACCGAAGCUAUUGGAAAACUUUCCUGUGUGCCAAAGGGAGAGAGCAUGUCUUCUUUCUCUAGAUUUUGGACGACACAACGCCAAUCGUGUAGCCAGACAAACAAUUAUGAACGAAAAACGGGAGAAGGGGAAACCAAUAUCCUUCGAGUGACACACACACAUGCAUCUGCAUGCGGAUUCCGCUGAACCGAGACUACCCAUCUCUCUCGAUCUCACAUGAUUUUUGUGCUAUCGCGCUCAUCCGGGUGUUAGGCAUCCUCAGUCUGUCCAGAACUUUCACUGUGGAAGGAUGUGUUGGAGUGAUGUGUGAUUUUUUGUGCCCCGUACUUUGCUCGUCUACGUUUUAAGUAUGUUAUAGUGCACGCGCAUGUUAAUCGACGGUUGCCAACAUCCUGCAAAACCAUCGACGGAAGGUAAACGUUGUCCGGUUUUAAAAUAUCAAGGGUUCAUCACAGCUCUUUCGUAGAAGAGCGCACUUCAAGGACGCCUAGGAUACGGCUAAACAUACGCAGCACCAGCCCGUGACGUCAUUUCCAGAUAGGCGCCGGCUGAACACGCGCAGCACCAGUCGGGGAUGUCCUAGCGAGAAGGGCAGAAGGAGGAACGAGAGGAAGGGUAACGGAAGGUUACCGCUACAAUUGUAGGGGGUGAAGCAUCCAGUCGUGUAUAGAGUGUGAGUGUGCCAAAACGCAUGUGGAAAGAGGAAGUCCAAUAAAUAGCAUGCGAAAGUGUGCAUAAAGCAAAAAGAAAAAGCGUCACUACUACAACCAGCAAUCCGAAAAUAUAAGGGGAGAGAUAAAUACAAAUGUAUGCGUGAGCAGGACCAGCAAUCCAAGCAUUUGAAUGUGUGCGUGCAGGUCGGUUUGUGCCGUGCUGAAUGUUUUUACUUUAGCUGCUGCUAGUGUAAAAACUUACCCAAGGACGCAAAAACCGACGGCGGCCUGUGUAAUCUGAGCUCCCUACAAAGCUCUCCACAAAGCUGUCGUUUGCACUCUUGUCGAGAGCUUCGCCACAGGCGCCCGAACCAUCCGUCAC